rnacentral:rRNA from 1 species
AAAGAGUUAAUUAAUUACUAAAUUUAUAAUGUCAAUUAUAUUUUAAAUAAUUAAUUUGAAAUGAAAAGUUAUUCGUUUUUAAAUAUAUCUAGUUUUUUCAGAAAAAAAUUUAAUUUUAAAUUUAAAAAUUGAUAAUAAAUAAAAAUUAAUUAUUUUAUUUAUUAUAUUUUAAAUUAAAUAUUUUAAGGGAUAAGCUUUAAAUUAUAAAAUUAUAAAAUAUUAAUCUAUAGAAAGAUUAUUAAUUUAAAUUUAAAAAUUUUUUAAUUUAUAUUGUUAAUAAAUUAUAAUUUAUUAUAAAUAAUUUUAAAUAAAAAAAAAUUUAAAUUUAUUUUAAAUUUAUAUGAAAAUAUUAAUUAAAAUUAUAUCAAUUAAAUAAUAAUGAUAAAAUUAGUAUAUAAAUUAAAUUAAUAAAAAUAUUAAUUAUAAUAAUUUUAUAAAAUUAAAUUUAAUUAAUUAAUAAAAAGGAAUUCGGCAAAAUUAUAUAUUCACUUGUUUAACAAAAACAUGUCUUUUUGAAUUUAAUAUAAAGUCUAAUCUGCCCACUGAAAUAAUUAUUUAAAGGGCUGCAGUAUUUUGACUGUACAAAGGUAGCAUAAUCAAUAGUCUCUUAAUUGGUGACUUGUAUGAAAGAUUGAAUGAAAUAUAUUCUGUCUAUUUAUUAAUAUGUAGAAUUUAAUUUUUUAUUUAAAAAGUUAAAAUAAAUUAAAAAGACGAGAAGACCCUAUAGAGUUUUAUAAAUGAUUUGGUUUAUGAAUUAUUUAUUUAAUAAUAAUAAUAAUUUAAAUUAAUUAAUUUAUUAUAUUGGGGUGAUAGAAAAAUAAAAUUAACUUUUUUUUUAAAAAAUACAUAAAUAAUUGAAUUUAGUUUAUUUGAUCCAAAAAGAUUGAUAAUAAGAUUAAAUUACCUUAGGGAUAACAGCGUAAUUUUUUUUUUUAGUUCGAAUAAAAAUUAAAGUUUGCGACCUCGAUGUUGGAUUAAGAUAAAAUUUGAAUGCAAAAGUUUAAAAUUUUG